GGAAACUGCGUCCUGAUUUGCAUCAUCCUUUAAAAACUUAUACAGAUGGAAAAGAAGCAGAGGUGAAGACAGAGAGAAAGCAGAAGGACAAUUAUUUCUGUCUUCACACUCAAGAGACUAGAGGCUCUAGGAAACUGAAGUAAGAAUGGAUGAGCUGUUUUUUGUGAUCCUCCUCUCUACAGGUUUUUGUGCCACCACUUCAUAUAUGUUUUUUAACUAUCCAAUGACCUGGCAUGAUGCAAAAAGUUACUGCUUUGAUGGUAGAACUACGCUGGUUCAAACAGAUGAUGUGUUCCACUCAAACUGGAAAAAUUCAGAAUACUCCAAGGCCUGGAUAGGACUGAUUACCAACACCUCUGUAUGGCACCACAUAAGCAACGAAACGGCUCAAUAUUUCAACUGGAGCUCCGGUCAGCCAGACAACCUCCUCAGUGAACUGUGUGUGUCUAUGACUGAAGUUGGAGAUUGGUAUAAUUGCAACUGUUCUGAACUUAAACCGUCUAUUUGCUAUGACGGUAGGUUAAAAAAAAAAACUGGGUUAAAAAUUUGGAAUGCAUUGAA